rnacentral:rRNA from 1 species
UACGGGGGGGGCAAGCGUUGUUCGGAAUUACUGGGCGGAAAGGGCUCGUAGGCGGCCAACUAAGCCGGACGUGAAAUCCCCAGGCUCAACCUGGGAACUGCGUCCGAUACUGGAUGGCUUGAAUCCGGGAGAGGGAUGCAGAAUUCCAGGUGUAGCGGUGAAAUGCGUAGAUAUCUGGAGGAAUACCGGUGGCGAAGGCGGCAUCCUGGACCGGCAUUGACGCUGAGGAGCGAAAGCCAGGGGAGCAAACGGG